rnacentral:rRNA from 1 species
AACGCGAAGAACCUUACCUGGGCUCGAACGGCUGGUGACCGGGGGCGAAAGUCUCUUUUCCCGCAAGGGACACCAGUCGAGGUGCUGCAUGGCUGUCGUCAGCUCGUGUCGUGAGAUGUUGGGUUAAGUCCCGCAACGAGCGCAACCCUUGCUCUUAGUUGCCAUCAGGUCAAGCUGGGCACUCUAAGAGGACUGCCGGUGAAAAACCGGAGGAAGGUGGGGACGACGUCAAGUCCUCAUGGCCUUUAUGUCCAGGGCUACACACGUACUACAAUGGGCGGUACAGAGAGUUGCAAACCCGCGAGGGGGAGCCAAUCUCAAAAAACCGUUCUCAGUUCGGAUUGCAGUCUGCAACUCGACUGCAUGAAGCUGGAAUCGCUAGUAAUCGCUGAUCAGCAAGCAGCGGUGAAUACGUUCCCGGGCCUUGUACACACCG